rnacentral:lncRNA from 1 species
GGUUAGUAUGUGAAGCUGGAAGUACUGUUACUAAUGUGUCAGGAUACUUACGUGUUAGCCACAGUUAUGCUAUUUCAAAGGACACCUGCCCUUUAGGAGGAAAAAACCCCUCCAGCUAUAUUUGUACCCUUGACUGACAUCUGGACGGGAUUGAUGUUGGGUGCAUUGUUGGGGGAAGUUUGCAAUACAAACUGGUAUCAGAAUUCCUUAUGCUGAUGAUGCACUUUAUGUAUAUUUUUAUUAGAAAGUAGAACUAAUUUUAGCCUUUUCAGCUUGAUGGAUUUCAGUUUUUUCCUGAAGGGCGUUCUUCAUUAUUAAUCUUGUGGUGGGUUCCCAUUGUGUGGCGAGUGGUGUGCUGUGCUUCACAGGCAUCGAGGCCACCUGGCUCAGCCCUGUGAGGUCACCCUUUCAGACCAAGUACCAGCUCUUAGGAUAUGCGCUUGGCGCUGGAGCAGUAAUUAGUAAGUGUUUGGUUUUGAUGGGACAGGAUCAAGAAAGGAGACACUGGUUUCAUCUGUACAGCUGUUUGAGGGUGCGAACAAUCAGCAGUCAGACGGCAGAUACUGUAUGGAGCUAACAAAGCUCCAUGUUCUCUUAUCCUUAAUCAUUUGUCUUAAAACAAGGAAAAACUUCCUGUACCCCCCACCCCCACUGCCUUCUCUGCUUGUGUGCACAAGAUGCGCUUGUAUAUUGUUUCACAGAAAACUCAGUAUGCUCGUGUUUUCUCAACCAUGAUGUGAAACCAACAGUCCUGUGGCCCCCUGGCUAGUAUUGAGUGAAGUUUUACUAAAAGUAAUUCCUGUGAAGCAUGUUAUCCAUCUUGGAUGGCCGUUCAGUCUCCACGUAAGAGAAGAUGUGUAUACUCCACAGAAUACCUGCUUAUGGUAAAGUUAAUUUCUAAUUUAAACGUGUAAGCAAAAGCAUUUUCUCUAGAAUUUUAAAUCAAUUUUUAUUUGUAAUGACUUACUAAAAUUCAUUAGUGAAAUUUACAUGUAGAAACAUAAAAAGUUUCUAGCAAGCACUUGACAUCUGGUCAGCUUUCUACUCAUUUAUCCUGCAAAAGAUUUAAAAUACCUUUC